UUCAUUCCAUCUCACCUUCCAUCUCAAUGUCUCAAAUAGAAGGAAACCUGAGCAGGUAGAUGAGUUCUGUCACCAUGACAACUAAACAAAUCCGCAGAUGAAGGUAAGAAGAGGAAAAAGACCAUUGGGUGAUGAUGCCUGCGCCUGCACCACCUUCCCUCACGGAGAUAGGCUUGUCACCUCCUCAUCCUCAGCUUGGGAUUUCUUCUUCUUCUCUUGUUUAGGACCCAGGAAUAGCCAGCUCUGAAAGGCAACAUGGCUGAUGAAGCCUAUCCAAAUGGGAGCACGGGAGGCAUCGCUUCAGAUGAACUAAUAAGGAAGAGGGGCUGCUGCAGGUCAAGUUCAGCCUCUCUGUCCACCUUCUGCGAGUGCUCUCCAGCCACUACACACAGGGCAGUCGGUACGUAGUUUCUGCACGUGAGCGAGCUCAGCAGAUCUCUUUUCACC
rnacentral:lncRNA from 1 species